rnacentral:snRNA from 1 species
UUCUCAAUUUGGCGGCACACAUACGAAAAUUGGAAUGAUACAGAGAAGAUUAGCAUGGGCUCUGCACGAGAAUGACACGCAAAGUUGUGAAGCAUUCACAUUUUUU